rnacentral:rRNA from 1 species
CAGCAGUCGCCGCGGGAAUACGGAGGGUGCAAGCGUUAAUCGGAAUUACUGGGCGUAAAGCGUGCGUAGGUGGUGGUUUAAGUCCGUUGUGAAAGCCCUGGGCUCAACCUGGGAAUUGCAGUGGAUACUGGGUCACUAGAGUGUGGUAGAGGAUAGUGGAAUUUCCGGUGUAGCAGUGAAAUGCGUAGAGAUCGGAAGGAACAUCUGUGGCGAAGGCGACUAUCUGGGCCAACACUGACACUGAGGCACGAAAGCGUGGGGAGCAAACAGGAUUAGAUACCCCCGUAGUCCCUGUCUCUUAUAC